GUCUACAGCCAUGCCACUUUGAACAUGCCCAAUCUCGGCUGAUCUCGAAAGCUAAGCAGGGUCGGGCCUGGUUAGUACUUGGAUGAGAGACCACCUAGGAAGACCAGGUGCUGUAGUCG
rnacentral:rRNA from 1 species